rnacentral:rRNA from 1 species
CAGGCUUAAUACAUGCAAGUCGAACGGUAAGGCCUGAAGUGGCAACACGGNAGGGUACACGAGUGGCGCACGGGUGCGUAACGCGUAUGCAACCUGCCCCCGACCGGGACAAAACAGCUGGAAACGGCUGCUAAUAUCCCAUGGUCAUGCGGAAGGGCAUCCUUCUUCAUGUAAAGAUUCAUUGGUCGGGGAUGGGCAUGCGUAUUAUUAGGUAGUUGGCGGGGUAACGGCCCACCAAGCCGACGAUGAUUAGGGGUCCUGAGAGGGUUAACCCCCACACUGGAACUGAGACACGGUCCAGACUCCUACGGGAGGCAGCAGUAGGGAAUAUUGGGCAAUGGGAGCAAUCCUGACCCAGCCAUGCCGCGUGAAGGAAGACGGCCCUAUGGGUUGUAAACUUCUUUUGCCGCAGAGUAAACCCGGUCACGUGUGGUCGGUUGAGAGUAUGCGGCGAAUAAGUAUCGGCUAACUCCGUGCCAGCAGCCGCGGUAAUACGGAGGAUACGAGCGUUAUCCGGAUUUAUUGGGUUUAAAGGGUGCGCAGGCGGACCGCUAAGUCAGGGGUGAAAAGUUCGGGCUUAACCUGAAUCGUGCCUUUGAUACUGGCGGACUAGAGUGCGAUAGGCGUGGCCGGAAUGUGGUGUGUAGCGGUGAAAUGCUUANAUAUGCCACAGAACACCGAUCGAGAAGUCAGGUCACGAGCUCGCAACUGACGCUCAUGCACGAAAGCGUGGGGAUCAAACAGGAUUAGAUACCCUGGUAGUCCACGCCGUAAACGAUGAUCACUCGUUGCCGGCACGAUGUUCGUGCCAAC